rnacentral:rRNA from 1 species
UCNUCUGGCUUAACUGGGGGCUUGCGGUGGGUACGGNCCGGCUUGAGUGCGGUAGGGGAGACUGGAACUCCUGGUGUAGCGGUGGAAUGCGCAGAUAUCAGGAAGAACACCGGUGGCGAAGGCGGGUCUCUGGGCCGUUACUGACGCUGAGGAGCGAAAGCGUGGGGAGCGAACAGGAUUAGAUACCCUGGUAGUCCACGCCGUAAACGUUGGGCACUAGGUGUGGGGGGCCUUUUCCGGGUCUUCCGCGCCGUAGCUAACGCAUUAAGUGCCCCGCCUGGGGAGUACGGCCGCAAGGCUAAAACUCAAAGGAAUUGACGGGGGCCCGCACAAGCGGCGGAGCAUGCGGAUUAAUUCGAUGCAACGCGAAGAACCUUACCAAGGCUUGACAUGUGCCGGUCGGCUCCGGAGACGGGGUUUCCUCCUUGUGGGGCCGGUUCACAGGUGGUGCAUGGUUGUCGUCAGCUCGUGUCGUGAGAUGUUGGGUUAAGUCCCGCAACGAGCGCAACCCUUGUCCCGUGUUGCCAGCACGUUGUGGUGGGGACUCGCGGGAGACUGCCGGGGUCAACUCGGAGGAAGGUGGGGAUGACGUCAAAUCAUCAUGCCCCUUAUGUCUUGGGCUUCACGCAUGCUACAAUGGCCGGUACAGAGGGCUGCGAUACCGUGAGGUGGAGCGAAUCCCUUAAAGCCGGUCUCAGUUCGGAUCGGUGUCUGCAACUCGACACCGUGAAGUUGGAGUCGCUAGUAAUCGCAGAUCAGCAACGCUGCGGUGAAUACGUUCUCGGGCCUUGUACACACCGCCCGUCACGUCAUGAAAGUCGGCAACACCCGAAGCCCGUGGCCCUACGGG